AGCGAACGCUGGCGGCAGGCCUAACACAUGCAAGCCGAGCGCUCGUAGCAAUACGAGAGCGGCAGACGGGAGAGUAACACGUGGGAACGUACCCUUUGGUUCGGAACAACCCAGGGAAACUUGGGCUAAUACCGGAUAAGCCCUUACGGGGAAAGGAUUUAUCGCCGAAGGAUCGGCCCGCGUCUGAUUAGCUAGUUGGGUGGGGAACGGCCCGACCAAGGCGACGAUCAGUAGCUGGUCUGAGAGGAUGAUCAGCCUCACUGGGAC
rnacentral:rRNA from 1 species